rnacentral:rRNA from 1 species
UACGUAGGCAGCGAGCGUUUGUUCGGAGUUACUGGGCGUAAAGGGUGUGUAGGCGGUUGUUUAAGUUUGGUGUGAAAUCUCCCGGCUCAACUGGGAGGGUGCGCCGAAUACUGAAUGACUAGAGUGCGGGAGAGGAAAGUGGAAUUCCUGGUGUAGCGGUGAAAUGCGUAGAUAUCAGGAGGAACACCGGUGGUGUAGACGGCUUUCUGGACCGUAACUGACGCUGAGACACGAAAGCGUGGGGGAGCAAACAGG